rnacentral:rRNA from 1 species
GUAGGGUGCGAGCGUUAAUCGGAAUUACUGGGCGUAAAGCGUGCGCAGGCGGUGAGUUAAGUCUGCUGUGAAAGCCCCGGGCUCAACCUGGGAAUGGCAGUGGAAACUGGCUCGCUGGAGUGUGGCAGAGGGGGGUGGAAUUCCACGUGUAGCAGUGAAAUGCGUAGAGAUGUGGAGGAACACCGAUGGCGAAGGCAGCCUCCUGGGCCGACACUGACGCUCAUGCACGAAAGCGUGGGGAGCAAACAGGAUUAGAUACCCUGGUAGUCCACGCCCUAAACUAUGUCAACUAGUUGUUGGGGAAGGUAACUUCCUUAGUAACGAAGCUAACGCGUGAAGUUGACCGCCUGGGGAGUACGGCCGCAAGGUUA